UUAAUACUGUCCUUCCUUAGCUCCCAUCUCUCUGAUAUUUUUCCCACACUGUUAUUCAUUGCUCCCUUCUUGACUGUUGGAAGUCAGGAUUUUUUAUCAUCUUCUGUUUGCCUGCAGGGACCUCAGUUAUUUUACUUCUGCCCAUGGAAUCCCACUUCAAUUGCAGCUGUUUGAAUUAACAUGUUUCCUUGCUGCAUCUCCUGGCUGAGGAAAGUGCAAGUGCUGUCAUGGCCAGCAGAACAAACAGAUACCUGAUGUAUUACUUCAUCAGCAAAUUCAACAAGGCCAAGAUGUCUUCAUUUUCCUUCAGAGCAAGAGCUGUAAGAGCAGUGUGGUAGAAGUAUUGGUCUUCUGUGGCCAGCCGGAAAGAAUGGAAAAGAGGGAUUUGACCAGUCACAUCAACUGUGGCCUUAUGUUUGAAGAACAGUUUUUCAAGCAGCUGCUCUCAGGAAAGGCUGGUUCUCAGUGGGAAAUCAGGUUGCUGUUUGCUUGCCAGUGGU